CUAAAACUUUUCAUCAAUUUUAAGUAAAAUCAUGUUUAUGCUUCGAAAUUAUAAAUUAACUUCUACAGUUAUUUUUGAGCUUUCGAUUUCUUCUUCCAGCAACAAACCAACCCCUUUCGUUUCCUGUUGUUGUUGUUUCAGGGAAGCACCCACCAAGCCCAAUGCUGAACCUACCCAAAGAUCCCAACAUCUUAUACAGGGUGUUGAUUGCAUUCGUCAAAAGUUUUGGAUCAAAAGCUCGCUGUUUGGGGAAAAUACUCUCUUCAUCACUGUUUUUCUCUUCCUCGAGGUUUUCAUUUGCCAAACACUGUUGAACUCCAUAGUUCUAUGUUGAAAUUUGAAGAUCAUCAAGAAAUUUGAAGAUCUUCCAAGUUGAACUCCAUAGUUCUGCAACACCAACGUGAGCUUGUAUAUAUUUUUUAUCAACCCAGUUGAACCUGCAACAUGACUUCUGCUUGCUAUACCUGAGCUAAUAUUUCCCUUAACAUGUGCUAACAUUUUUAAUCAAAUGUAUAUACCUUUUUAUUGAUUCUUGAUUUGUUGGUAAUGAUGUAUAAAAUUAACUUUACUGGUGUUUUUGCAAGUCAUACAGGGUUACGGGUUUCAAAUGUUAGUAUUUAGUUUUUGCCUUUAGAAAGUAAAGGUUCACUUGGUCAAACAUCUUAUGUCAUUUGAAGUUAGAUGUUACUUAUUUGUGGCCUUUUAAGGCCUCUGCCAUUUACUUAACGUAGAUCUCAUACCUACUCAAGUGUUA